CUGUGUGGCCUGACUGUUCUGGAACUCGCUCUGUAGACACAGCUGUCCUGGAACUCGGAGAUCCACCUGUCUCUGCUUCCCAAAUGCUGGGAUUAGAAGCAUUACCUGGUGAUUUUAGGAAAUGUUUAAUGAAUAUUCAUGAAGGGGAUAGCGUAUUCAUGGGGCAAGGACCACCAGCCCAGAGCAGCACCCUCAACAAUGAGCAAACCCAGGACCACCAGCCCAGGGGCAACACCCCCGACAGUGAGCUGGCCCCUCUCCCAUCAAUCAUCAAUCAAGAAAACGUACCACAGACCAAUCUGAUGGGAGCAUUUUCUCAAUUGGUGCCCUGUCUUCCAAAAUUAUCCUAGCUUGUGUCAAUUUGACAGAAAACUAGCCAACCCCACCACCCACACCUGGUUUUGCUUUCUUGAGUUAAAGAGUUCUUUAUGUAGUGACACAAAUGUUUCUAUGUACUUGCUAAAAGAUCUGCUCCAGUGUGGAUUGUCUUUUCAUUGCCUUAAUAAUAUGUCAUAAGGAAAAAUGUUGAAUUUAGGUUACUAGCAACUGAACAACUUCUGUCUCUUGAGACUGCAUUUCCUGUCUCUCUAAGACAUCUUCACCAUGCCCAGCCUGCGAGCAGUGGUUUUGUUGUUGGGGCGGGGGUGGGAGGGAGGAUUUGUUCAUCUUUUGAACAGGAUCUCACUGUGUAGCUCCCCCUCUCUCCUUCUUUCCUUUCCCAUGUGGUUCAAAGUUCACCAGGUUUCACGGCUAUGACUAAGGUGAGGUGUCUUCUCUGUGUUUGGGUGUGACAUUACGGUUCUGAUCUCAGACCUUUCAGUCCAGGGUCACAAGGCUCUUUCUGGGUGUGGUCAGGCAAAAGAUCAGCCAGGAGCCUAUGUGGGGCAAAGGUGCUCCCCCAACAGCGGCCUAAGGGCAUGGAGCCAAUUUAGUUUUUUAAGAGAGUAAGCUUUUUAAGUUGUCAAUUGUUUUCUUCAGAUUCGACACAUUAUUUUUCAGAAAUAUUGUUCCUUUGGUGGGUUUGUUUGUUUGUUUUCUUUUUGUUUAAUGUAUAGACGUCUUGCCAUGAAUUUGUUUGAACAGUCUCUAUUCCCACGUCAGCACCUAUGUGAAGCACAGUUGUAGUUCCUUAGCGUAGUAUAGCACUGAACUGUAUUUUCCACGUUCUUGCUCAUCUGAGUGGGGUGUUUCUGGCAGUAUGUGCCACAUGUUGCAUUGUGCUAUUUGACUGCAGCCUUGGAUCUGGAUGCUCCAAACAGGCACUUUGCACAAUGUAUGCCCCUGCUGCGAGUGCCUGCAUACACCCGGACACUUCAUCUCAGCUUCUAGCUGACUGUGUCUUAGAACCAUAGUGUUUACAGUACCUGGGAAGUCUUCUCUACUCAGUGAUGGUCUAUGGAGAGCCAAGACUUCUAGUGGUUUUCUGCUGUUACAACUCAGCAUGCGAAAUAUCAAACUAGUACAUCUUCUAGUUGGAGUGUGUCAAAACGUUUGAUAUCAAAACUUGCUUUUUUGAUAUGCUGACCUCAAAAUUGUGAAAAUUGCAUAAUAAAUUUGGUCUUGGGAUUGGAACAGAAUUGCUAAUAAUUUAUGAAAUAGUCCUAAAUAUACUUGUACCAUGUAUUUAUGCAAAGCAGCGCUCUCAGUGUUGAUGAGUAUAAAAUCAAACUCAGGGCUGGAGAGAAAGUUCAAGGGUGGAGUGCUUGCUGCUCUCCCAGAGGACAGAGGUUUGCCUGCCAGUACCCAGGCUCGGUGGCUUACACUUACCUGUAACUCCAGCUUCAGGGACUCCAUGCACAUAUGUAGCAUAUGUACAGACACACACUCCUACACAUAAAUAAGCCCCGUAAAUAAAAGCAAAGCAUCAGUCAGCUUUGGAAAGCAUCAAAGACGCUCCCAGGGUCAAAGUUUCAGCCUGGACUUAAUUAUUCAUGUACAAGUAAAUAAAUGCAUUCAUGUCAUUAGUAUAAACACUUGCUUUCUUCUUCAAUAAAUAAUAAAAUUCUACCUACACCAGUUGUUCUAAACCAA